rnacentral:misc_RNA from 1 species
GAUGAAGAACGUAGCGAAAUGCGAUAAGUAAUGCGAAUUGCAGAAUUCAGUGAGUCAUCGAAUCUUUGAACGCACAUUGCGCCCUGUGGUAUUCCGCAGGGCAUGCCUGUUCGAGCGUCAUUUCAACCCUCAAGCUCUGCUUGGUGUUGGGCCCUGCCCGCUGCGGCCGGCCCUAAAGACAGUGGCGGUGCCGCCUGGCCCUGAGCGUAGUACAUCUCUCGCUCCAGUGCCCGUUGGUAGCCUGCCAGAACCCCAACUCUCGUGGUUGACCUCGGAUCAGGUAGGGAUACCCGCUGAACUUAAGCAUAUCAAUAAGCGGAGGA